UACGGGAGCAGCAGUGGGAAUUUGGACAAUGGGGAACCUGAUCCAGCCAUCCCGCGUGUAUGAUGAAGGCCUUCGGGUUGUAAAGUACUUUGGCAGAGAAGAAAAGGUAUCCCCUAAUACGGGAUACUGCUGACGGUAUCUGCAGAAUAAGCACCGGCUAACUACGUGCCAGCAGCCGCGGUAAUACGUAGGGUGCAAGCGUUAAUCGGAAUUACUGGGCGUAUAGCGUGUGUAGGCGGUUCGGAAAGAAAGAUGUGAAAUCCCAGGGCUCAACCUUGGAACUGCAUUCUUAACUGCCGAGCUAGAGUAUGUCAGAGGGGGGUAGAAUUCCACGUGUAGCAGUGAAAUGCGUAGAUAUGUGGAGGAAUACCGAUGGCGAAGGCAGCCCCCUGGGAUAAUACUGACGCUCAGACACGAAAGCGUGGGGAGCAAACAGGAUUAGAUACCCUGGUAGUCCACGCCCUAAACGAUGUCAACUAGCUGUUGGGGCCGUUAGGCCUUAGUAGCGCAGCUAACGCGUGAAGUUGACCGCCUGGGGAGUACGGUCGCAAGAUUAAAACUCAAAGGAAUUGACGGGGACCCGCACAAGCGGUGGAUGAUGUGGAUUAAUUCGAUGCAACGCGAAAAACCUUACCUACCCUUGACAUGUCUGGAAAGCCGAAGAGAUUUGGCCGUGCUCGCAAGAGAACCGGAACACAGGUGCUGCAUGGCCGUCGUCAGCUCGUGUCGUGAGAUGUUGGGUUAAGUCCCGCAACGAGCGCAACCCUUGUCAUUAGUUGCUACGCAAGAGCACUCUAAUGAGACUGCCGGUGACAAACCGGAGGAAGGUGGGGAUGACGUCAAGUCCUCAUGGCCCUUAUGGGUAGGGCUUCACACGUCAUACAAUGGUCGGGACAGAGGGUCGCCAACCCGCGAGGGGGAGCCAAUCUCAGAAACCCGAUCGUAGUCCGGAUCGCAGUCUGCAACUCGACUGCGUGAAGUCGGAAUCGCUAGUAAUCGCGGAUCAGAAUGUCGCGGUGAAUACGUUCCCGGGUCUUGUACACACCGCCCGUCACACCAUGGGAGUGGGUUUCACCAGAAGUAGGUAGCCUAACCGUAAGGAGGGCGCU
rnacentral:rRNA from 1 species